AACGAACGCUGGCGGCAUGCCUAACACAUGCAAGUCGAACGAGACCUUCGGGUCUAGUGGCGCACGGGUGCGUAACGCGUGGGAACCUGCCCUUAGGUUCGGAAUAACUCCCCGAAAGGGGUGCUAAUACCGGAUAAUGUCUUCGGACCAAAGAUUUAUCGCCUUUGGAUGGGCCCGCGUUGGAUUAGCUAGUUGGUAGGGUAAAAGCCUACCAAGGCGACGAUCCAUAGCUGGUCUGAGAGGAUGAUCAGCCACACUGGGACUGAGACACGGCCCAGACGCGUACGGGAGGGAGGAGUGGAGAAUAUAGAAGGAGAGCCGAAAGGCGGCGCCAGCAGGCGAGAUUGGUGGAGGAAGGAGUUAGGGUUGUACAUCGCAGAAGCGAGGAGUGAGAAUGACAUGAGGGAGAGGACGAGCACGGGCGAGCUCCGUGGCAGAGGCCGGGGUAAUAGAGGGAAGAGAACCCGUCUGACA
rnacentral:rRNA from 1 species